rnacentral:lncRNA from 10 species
GGACGGCUCUCUCAAAUGUUACUGUCUAUAUGAAUCCACCUUGGGAUAUUAGUAAAAUGAGUUUCUGAUACAGAAGAUCUAGAAAGCGCCUGAAAUGCUGAUAUUCUGUCUCCCAGGUGGAGGAGUUCAGCUAUUACCUUGACUUUGCCGAAGUCCUAGGCACUCCCAUGCCCUCAGAGUCUCAUUUUGAAUCCAGGCACUUAGGGAUGCUAUUUUUCCACAUCAAACAGCUUCCUCCCAGCCAAAGAAUUCUGGUGACAGUAGUGAAGAUAAUUUUCACUCCUGCUUACAGAAUGACAAAGCAAAAGCAAAGAGGAGAAGAAUGAAGUAAAGACAACCAAAGGAAAAGACUGAUGGCUCCUUAAGAAUGAUCUUGAUAAAGGAAUGGUGGCUGAGGGGUCCAUCUCCUAAACCACCCACCUUACUGACUCCCUAGAGCAAUGCCAUACAGAAAGCUGCACCUUGAGGGGAAGACACAAGAAUCCUGGAGUGGAAAAAAAUUGGGUAAUGAUGACAGCCUUCGAGGUCUUGAGAGUAAAGCAGAAGCAAAAAAAAAGUGUUAUUUUUAUCUUUUGAAGAUGGUUCCCUCUUAAGACUUUUGCGAAUGAUUAAGAUUUCAAUUAUGUUCCAGGAAAAAAAUAAGAUUUUUGCUUGACAAAAAAAAUUUUUGUCUAGAACAGGUGGGAAGGAAGAGAUAGUUUAGCCACAUCCAAGAGACCUGUAAAUUGGGUACAGUGAAGUGAAUGGUGUACCAGUCAUAAAAGAAUGUUAACUGGAGAAGUCUCUGCUGUCUUCCUGUAACUGAGGGGGGUGUAACCAUCCUUGUGGAAGCGUCCACUUUUAUUGAAGAUUGGCUAAAUAAAUCUGUGCCUACUGAAACUCAA